ensembl:ncRNA C25E10.14 ncRNA
AUUCUUUCUGUAAAUAAACAACUAAAUUCUUUAAAUUCUUCCUGAUCCGAACGUCAACCCCGGAAAAGAGGUAAAAAUGGAGCGAUUAUGCGGCCAGUUGCCUUGUCGCCACCGUCUCAAGUAGGCAACCAUUUCCUUUCGGAUCUUCUGCUGCCGUGAGAUGUUUUGUUUAGAACUGGUUCGUGGCAGAGAGUGAAAGAGAAACGGAGACAUUGAGAUGCCGGUUACUGGUAGAAGAAUGGAAAACAGAAUGAUGAAAUUGG